AGUGAACGCUGGCGGCGUGCUUAACACAUGCAAGUCGAACGAGAACGGAUUAUAGCUUGCUAUAAUUGUCAGCUAAGUGGCGCACGGGUGAGUAAUGUAUAGGUAAUAUGCCUCUUACUAAGGGAUAACAAAUGGAAACGUUUGCUAAUACCUUAUACUCCUUAUUAACCUAAGUUAAUAAGGGAAAGAUUUAUUGGUAAGAGAUUAGCCUGUAUUGUAUCAGUUAGUUGGUGGGGUAAUGGCUUACCAAGACUAUGACACAUAACUGGUUUGAGAGAAUGAUCAGUAACACUGGAACGGAGACACGGUCCAGACUCCUACGGGAGGCAGCAGUGGGGAAUAUUGCACAAUGGACGAAAGGCUGAUGCAGCAACGCCGCGUGGAGGAUGACACAUUUCGGUGCGUAAACUCCUUUUAUAUGAGAAGAUAAUGACGGUAUUAUAUGAAUAAGCACCGGCUAACUCCGUGCCAGCCGCCGCGGUAA
rnacentral:rRNA from 1 species